rnacentral:rRNA from 1 species
UGUGUAGGCGGUCGUGUUAGUCUUUUGUUAAAGUUUUUGGGCUUAACCCAGAAAAUGCAGGAGAAACGGCACGACUUCGAGGACGCGAGAGGUAGAGGGAACUCAUGGUGUAGGGGUGAAAUCCGUUGAUAUCAUGGGGAACACCAAAUGCGAAGGCACUCUACUGGCGCGCUCCUGACGCUGAAACACGAAAGCGUGGGAAUCGAAGG